UUCGCUAAAAGACGGGUCAGUAGUCGCGCGGGUGAAACCCCUGAAAACUACUGGUGUAUAUAUUCUUUUGCUAGAUUAGAGUGACGUUUUGUGGUUUUUUGAAAUUCUGAAUGCUUGUAAAUUGUGUGAAAAUGGCUAAAUUUCAGAAAGAAUGUGAUGAGUAUGAGUGUCCACCAGUGUAUGUGUAAUCGCAAAAGAUUGUGAGGCUUAGGAUGGUCCGAACAGAUCCAAAUGCUUUUGUAUAUAUAGAAAAGACAAAAAGAGGUUGCAUUAGCGUGGAACACGUUGAGAGAAGAAAACUGUUGGGAGGCAGUGGAGAAAAAGAGAGUUCCUCUCACGCCUAUUAUUUUUGCCAUGGAACAUAGACUGGUAAACAAAAUUAAGACUGUAAAAGCAGAAGGAAAAAGUGGUUUGGUAAAGGACCAAAUGUGACAAGCUUAGAGAAAGAGUUGAGAAUUCAGACGAGAUUAGCUCUGGUUGCUGCUGUCAUGCAGGCUAUUAAAUCAAAUAGAAAAAGGGGAAGUUGGCAGUGGUGCAGCUGCAAAGCAAAAGGAAGUUAAACAAGGAAACAGUCAGCCAGACUCAAGUGUGACACCUACGGCUCCUCCUCCAGUUCCACCCCCAGUGAAAUCGAUCUACCCCUCCUUGCACACACCUACUCCUUAUGAGAAAGCCAAAGCCCCAAUGCAACAGCCUGUUUUUCAAAUCAAUAGCGGUGAACUGAAUGUAGAUGUAGAUUUUAUUUGUGUGAAAAUGUAGUGUGUCUGUGAUAUAAUGAGUCUGUUAAAACCAUAAAUGGGAUUAAGCAAAAUCUAGCAGAAAGACAGAAGCGAAGCUUUGAAAGAAAAAACAACAGAUUACAGAAAAGAGUAGAGACCAAGUUAUUAAAUGUGGAAAUAAAGAUCAAAAAUAAAAAAGGACAGAAAAAUUAUUAAAAGGUGAAUGACAUAGAUAAAUUAUACAAAGAUAAAUUAUUACAAAAUGAAGAGGAGUCUUCAUCUGAUGAUGGAAGGUGGUCACAAAAUAAAUUUUAUUUUAAAUUGAAAGGCAAUAUUUUGCAAUGGGUUAAAGAGCACCUAUUAUGGGAUACACGUUUUUAAACAUCCUUUUGUGUGUAAGUGUGCAUUAGUACAUGCUAACGAUAUUCAAAAAGUACAUACCUCAAAGAAAACGAUGACGCGAGUUAUCGUCUCUAACGUUCGAGGACUACAAAAAACACUCGGAUUGUAGGCAACAGUUUACUUCCUGGGAUUAGUGACGUAGAUAAGACCAACAUUAUCAUAGUUCAGCCCUCUCUGCUUUGCUUGGGUACGCCCUCAAAGACGAGGGUGGGGUGGGGAGCGCCGAGUCAGAAGAGAGCUAAAAUGGCGGAGGUUGGGAGUCCCUGCUUUGACUCUGUUUGCAAACUCUUGUUUCAUUGUUUAAGCGAUUAAAUCUCUCGAGUAGACGCUGUCUCUUUAGAUGCGAGGGCAAAAUAGCACUUUAUGGACUUCCACAGAGGACAUCAUGUUUAAUACGGUUCCGGAAAAAUCCAGUCAGAAGUUGUUCACGGAGUUUUCACAAUAACUGCUUCUCAUGAACCGAAGCUGGAUUUGCGCGACGUCUCCUCUUGAAAGUUGGAUUACUGUGCACUUCUGGAUCACAGACUAUUCGCAGCUGUACACAUCCUUCUACACUGUAUGCAAACAUGCAACAUCAUUACACACAGUACAAGGAGUCAGACUGGCAUAUGAGGAGCAAAGGAACCCAGGCAGUAGCAUCGUUUCACAAUGUUUCCAUCAUCAUCAUCAGUGGAUGCCUUUGCCGUCCGUAGCCUGAGAUUUCAGAUUUGCAGCAAAAAAAAUUGAUUUUCUCAUUUAUUGGAAUGCUGUGCAGGUAUUUGUACCUUGCAGCCAUCCAUUACAAUGUCACCAAGCCGUAACAAAAGCAGGAGAGGGAAAGUACAAGGCUAUGUUCCCAAAACACAAAUGACAUACCUUAUGUGGAGGAUGUGAUCAGGCUUGUGUUUGAUGAGGUAUUUGAAGAUAAGCUGAAGGAAACCCCGAUUCCAAUGGACCUGGCAUCACAGUUUGAGAGACCUUCAAAGGAGGACGUGAUUGCAUGCCAUCUUCAGUGCAGGGGUCGUCGAAAGCCAAAAUUGUGACCGAUCUGAUCAGGAAGCUCCAAGCGUAUCUGGAGAACAACACACAACAGGAUGAUAACCUUAUAGUGUCGUCUUAGAUAGCACCAGCUGACAAAGCUUUGAUAUGCCAUUUAUCUGAAUAGAUAGCUGUAAGAAAUGAAUUGAACAAUUUUUGAAACAAGAGCACAAUAUGGUUACUAAAGUAUGUUUAUUUGUAUAUUGUUUAACAUUUAAAUAUAUAUUUGUAAUAAAUAAAAAAAACUUUUGACUGACUAUUAUAUUUUCUUUAAAGUUGCAUCUUUUGUUCUUUUGGGUACUUUGUUACUAUAAUGAUACUUUAGUGUUAUUGGUUUAAAAAUGUAAUAAAACUUACUCUAGUCCUGCACCUCAAAGGCUUAUAGUCGGUACAAUAAAUGUUCUGUGUGUAGGGAUUUAGACAAUUUGUGCAAAACCUGGAUGAUGAAUCACGCAGG